AACCUGCGUAUGAAAAGAAGCUUCCUCAAUCUAUACUUGGGAAACAUUCUUGGAAACCUACCUUGACCACGACUACUGGUCACAAGUGUAGUUAUGUAGUUAAAGCACCAGCCGGACAUCCAAUCUAUGAGAAUUCCCGUGUCAAGGGUUUCAAAGCACUAAUAACGGUUGUUUUAUCUAAUGACCAAUUUUCCUCUUGGAGAACUGCACGAGGGUCUGAUGGAAUGGAUAAGCCAGUAAAGUCGUUGCAGUGUCUAAAUCUGAAAUGGACCUUUUUUUGAAGCGAAGAUUACUGGUGGAGGCUCUUCCCGGUGGCUCUGUUUGCGUGGUAGGAAGAAACUGUUUACAAAGCAGCAAACAGAUUCUAGAGAUUCAGCAAAGGUACAAAGCUGCCACAGGAACCAUGGCAUUGGUUUCCGAAGGUUCUCCAGGUGUCAGUUUGGAUAUCUGAAAAUUCAUCGCGGUUUUCUUGUUCUUUUGACCCUCUUUAUUUGACAGUAAGAGGCACUUGAAAGCUUGUUUCAAGAUUUUGAUAUUUUUUUGUUAGUCAUUAAGGUUCUAUUCUUUAAACUAUCUGAGCUGUAAUUUGUAACCCUUCUUUUCUGAAAGGGUUUUAUCUGUAACAUAGAGAAUAAGACGAGGUAAGAAUAUCUGAGCUGUAAUUUGUAAGCCUUUUUUUUUUUUUUGCAAUGUAAUUGUGGUAUGCAAGGCAGCCCUUGCAUCACCUCAUAUUUACGAGGAGCCAAAGGUAGUCUAAUACCAGUUU